rfam:Dipodomys ordii contig_19966, whole genome shotgun sequence.
GGGAAGUUGGCUCAGUGGUAGAGUGCUUGCCUUGAAUGCAUGAGGCCCUGGGUUUGAUUCCUCCAUACCA